rnacentral:lncRNA from 1 species
AUUUUAUUUGCAGUUUUCUUGAUGAUUAGUGAUAUUGAACACCUUUUAAUAUACGUAUUGGCCAUUGUUAUGUCUUCUUUGGAGAAAUGUCUAUUCAGCUCUUUUGCCCAGUUUUAAAUCAGGUUAUUUGUUUUUCUAAUAUUGAGUCAUAUGAGUCCCUUAUAUAUUUUGGAUAUUAACCCCUUAUUGUACACAAAAUAUUGCAAAUAUUUUCUACUGUGGGAGCCAUGAUUGUGCCACUGCACUCCAGCCUGGACGACAGAGUGAGACCUUGUCUCAAAAA